rnacentral:lncRNA from 1 species
AUGAGUAUUCUCCCUACAUCCCAAAAGAAUCCUAGCGUGAAAGAAGAGGAACAUUAUUCCUCAUUUCUGGAGAGGAAGUCUUUCUAUCUCAGGAGUCACCUUCAAAAUUACAGAUCAGCUGAGAGGACAGCAUCUGGGCUGACUUCUGGCUUCUCUUCUGUUUGCAGGCAAAAUAGUGGAAAAGGUAACUUCAUCUAGGUGCUUUUCCUACUGGAAAGGGAAGAAUGAAAAACUUCAAUGUAUUUCUCCUACUUCAGUAGAGUUCUUUCACCUGACUAGAUGCGUAUGUGCCCGCUUGUGUCUCCUUUGGGGGAGGUAUUUGGAAAGCGUGGAACAUUUGAUGAAAACUCUGGUAUUACAAUGGCAAAACCUCUUGCUUCUCGCAAGUACUUUUGUGUGUCCUGGUGAUAGACCAUCUAAAGAGCAGCUUCUAAAGCAUGCUAUUAAGACAAUUUAAUUGAACUGAAAAAUAAUUUCAGCUUGAUGGGGCAUUUUCAAACACAGAAUGAAGCCCUUCAAUAAUAUGCAUCCCUUCAAGCCUUUGGUAUAAAGAUCCUAUUGGACCUACUGUAUUUGGAAUAUAUCCUACUGGAGCAGCAUCCCCCAAUGAUACUGUGGUGUUCAUUUUGAAAUGCUAGAACAUUUACAAAAAACUGCUACUAGUGGCAAAAGGGUUAAAAAAACAUAUGGGCUAGUUAUCUGUCUGAAGCUUCAAACAGCCACGUUCUGCAUCAGAAAGGGACUGCAGCAACUCCUUGAUCAAAGCUUAGGUAAUUUAAUUAUUUGCCUUCAUGAAUCAAGGGGUCCUUGAACACACUCAGGAUGCCUGGAUAUUAGAAUAUGGGAAAUUUAUUGUUUCACUCCUUCUAAUGUUCCAACAUCAAAGAGAGCUUUUUCCUAUAAACAAAGCAGUCAGAAGUCAACGAAUUCAAGCAAGGGCUAGUGUGGACAGAUUCGGUUUUCUAGGAUCACUGUGAGCUGGAAAUUAAGCCGAUUGCUGUGGGGUGAGAUAUUUACCAUUGUAAUUCUUUGUGUUUGUUUUAUGUAACUAAACACCUGUACUGAAUCUUACAAAGUGAAAUGCUUAGCUCCUACUUCUGUAAGCUCACGUAGUUGACAUUGUUUUUCCUGUUUCUUAAUUUUAUGUAAUUUUUCAUGUUUAGUUUUGCAAACCUCUGUUUACCAAGCUGUAAGGGGCUUGUUCACCACAUCAUGCUUUGAGAUUUUAAUUAGCUUUGUCUGGUGUUAACUCUGCACCGUAAGAGUUCACAGGUGAUUUCUCCAGUGCCCCAACCGAAAAACAGAAAGAAUUUGGGGUGGCAAAAAUGUAUGUAAAAGAACAUUGCUUAAUCCAAGCUCUCUCUGUGCUUCUGACCGUCUGUGGCAGUCAUGCUAGUUCAGGAUUGUGCGGUAGUGAGGCAGAAAUUGGUUGGCAUUUUUUAAAUGCUAAACGUGGCUGUGAUGUUCACGCUAAUACAAGAAGGGAUUCUUAGCCUCCAAAAAUAAAUGUCCCUUUAUUUCUGGGAAAGAUUCCUUU